GUGUUCGCUUCAGCGGCACAUACACUGAAGUUGGAAUGAAUCAGAGACGAUUAGCCCGGCCCGUGCAUGGGAGACAUGCAAAUUCGUGAAGCCUUCCACAUAUAU
ensembl:snRNA U6 U6 spliceosomal RNA